rnacentral:tRNA from 1 species
UAUAGAGUGACUGAAAUUGUAGGUGAAAGACUGUAAAUCUUUUUAUGGAAUUUAUAUUCCUUCUGU